rnacentral:rRNA from 1 species
AGGGCCCAGCCUACACUGCAGUCGACGCUUCUUUCCUCCCGAGUGCUUGCACUCAAUUGAAAAGAGGAGUGGCGGACGGGUGAGUAACACGUGGGUAACCUACCCAUCAGAGGGGGAUAACACUUGGAAACUAGUGCUAAUACCGCAUAACAGUUUAUGCCGCAUGGCAUAAAAGUGAAAGGCGCUUUCGGGUGUCGCUGAUGGAUGGACCCGCGGUGCAUUAGCUAUUUGGUGAGGUAACGGCUCACCAAGGCCACGAUGCAUACCCGACCUGAGAGGGUGAUCGGCCACACUGGGACUGAGACACGGCCCAUAAUCCUACGGGAGGCAGCAGUAGGGAAUCUUCGGCAAUGGACGAAAGUCUGACCGAGCAACGCCGCGUGAGUGAAGAAGGUUUUCGGAUCGUAAAACCUCUGUUGAUUAAAGAAGAACAAGGACGUUAGUAACUGAAUGUCUCCCUGACGGUAUCUAACCAGAAAGCCACGGCUAACUACGUGCCAGCAGCCGCGGUAAUACGUAGGUGGCAAGCGUUGUCUCGGAUUUAUUGGGCAAAAAGCGAGCGCAGGCGGUUUCUUAAGUCUGAUGUGAAAGCCCCCGGCUCAACACGGGGAGGGUCAUUGGAAACUGGGAGACUUGAGUGCAGAAGAGGAGAGUGGAAUUCCAUGUGUAGCGGGUGAAAUGCGUAAAUAUAUGGAGGAAACCCAGUGGGGGAGAGGCGGCCCCUCUGGCUUGUAACUGGACCCUGAAGGCCCAAAAGCGGGGGGAAACAACAGGUUUGGAUCCCCGGGGAUCCCCCCCCGAAAAGAAAGAAUGCUAAUGUGUUGGAGGGGUUUCCCCCCUUCAGUGGGGACAGCAAACAUUUUAAGCACCCCCCCCGGGGGAGUACAACCGCCCAGUUUAAAACUCUAAGAGAUUUGAGGGGGGCCCGCACAAAAAGGGGAGAGGGGUGUGUUUUUUUCGACACACACGAGAAGAAUCUUCGCGGCUCUCGACAUCUUCUCACACCCAGAGAAAAAUAUCUCUCCUCCUCGUGAGCAAAAUGACAGGUGGUGCAUGGUUGUCGUCAGCUCGUGUCGUGAGAUGUUGGGGUAAGUCCCGCAACGAGCAGCAACCCUUAUUGUUAGUCUGCCAUCAUUUAGUGUGGGCACAUCUCAGCGAGACUGCCGGUGGCAAACCGGAGGAAGGUGGGGAUGAUAUCAAAUCAUCCUGCCCCUUAUGACCUGGGCUACCCACCUUUUACAAUGGGAAGUACAACGGGUCGCUAGAACGAGAGGUCUUGUAUAUUUUUUAAAGGUUUUUUCAGUUUGGAAUGCAGGCUGCAACUCGCCUGCCUGAAGCCGGAAUCGCUUGUAAUCCCGGGUCAACCCGCCGCGGGGAAUGAGUUUCCGGGCCUUGUACACCCCAGCCGUCCCCCCACGUGAGUUUCGACAACAUUAGUUGGUGAGGUUACCUUUUGGAGCCAGCCACCUAAGGAGGCAUAGAUCCCGUACGACGUCUUUACGAUUACC